GUAGUCCACGCCGUAAACGAUGAAUACUAGGUGUAGGGGUUGUCAUGACCUCUGUGCCGCCGCUAACGCAUUAAGUAUUCCGCCUGGGGAGUACGGUCGCAAGAUUAAAACUCAAAGGAAUUGACGGGGGCCCGCACAAGCAGCGGAGCAUGUGGUUUAAUUCGAAGCAACGCGAAGAACCUUACCUAGACUUGACAUCUCCUGCAUUACCCUUAACCGGGGAAGUUCCUUCGGGAACAGGAAGACAGGUGGUGCAUGGUUGUCGUCAGCUCGUGUCGUGAGAUGUUGGGUUAAGUCCCGCAACGAGCGCAACCCUUAUUGUUAGUUGCUACCAUUUAGUUGAGCACUCUAGCGAGACUGCCCGGGUUAACCGGGAGGAAGGUGGGGAUGACGUCAAAUCAUCAUGCCCCUUAUGUCUAGGGCUACACACGUGCUACAAUGGCAAGUACAAAGAGAAGCAAUACCGCGAGGUGGAGCAAAACUCAAAAACUUGUCUCAGUUCGGAUUGUAGGCUGAAACUCGCCUACAUGAAGCUGGAGUUGCUNGUAAUCGCGAAUCAGAAUGUCGCGGUGAAUACGGUUUCCCCGGGGCCUUUGUACACACGCCCAGUUCCAGCAUCCAUGGAGAGUUGGCAAUACCCAACGUACGUGAUCUAACCCGCAAGGGAGGAAGCGUCCUAAGGUAGGGUCAGC
rnacentral:rRNA from 1 species